AGUGCUCUCAGCGCGCCGGACCCGCUCUCUGCAGCCCGACAGCCCAGCUUCCCGCGAGCAACUCCUCAAGAAAUUCACUCAUGUGACAUCAUACGAGACGUGCGCGAAAAAAACAAUUUCCAUUUCGUCUCGUACUAGCUCGUCCCGUAGGUCGUCUUCCUUAUCCGUGUGUGGCGGCGGCGACAUAAGUAGGGGGGCGUGCUGACUUUGGCACAGAAGAAUUCGGGUGACCUCUACCGCGAUAGAAGGAUUAAGACUCGUCUGGAAGAGGCAUCAGCGUGGAUAACCAUGAGGCCCACAUCGUCCCCCGGGGCCGGGUCCUGAGACGGCGCGGGACUCCCCCUCGCAGCGCUCACGACGAGCAUGUCCGACCCCGGGUCCCGGGGCGCGGCAAGAUGGGGCGCGGGGCGCAGGACGACGCCGACCUGCGGCGCGCUGGCCUCCGGGGCCACCCUCGGCAUCGCCAUCCUGGCUACGGUGCUGCUGCAAGUGGUGUCGCAGCAGCUGCCCGCCAACAUGCCGCAGAUGUUCAUCCCGGCGGGUCAGCAGACCGGGCAGACCAUCCAGCAGACGACGGGCACUGGCGCCGCGGUGGUGCCCGUCCAGUCGCCCAACUUCCUCACGCAGCUGGGCUUCGCGCCGCAGACGUCCUUCGCCACGGGGUUGUGUACCUUUGGAUGCAUCCCCUUCGUGCUGCCCACCGCCGCCACAGUCCCGACAAUCCCGACACUGCCUCCGACCACGACGACGACGACCACCACCACGACGACGACCACGACGCCCGCGCCGCAGCCGACCGCCGUGACCUCCGUCCCGAUCAUCCCGGCGGUGCCAGUUGUCCCGUGCUCCUUUGUCGCCUGCCUUUGCAGCUUCUGCCUGUGCCCCGGGCUGACGUCGGGGCUGGUGGCUCCGGCCGCGCUGCCGACGGCGGCGGCGGCGGCGGCGGUUGCGGCGCAGGGCGUCGGCGUCGUCGCCGGGUAGAGGGUCGUCGUCGCCGAGUCGCGGCCGGCCCGCGGCCGCCCCCGCCGGCAGCGCGCGGCCGCGGCCACCGGCUGCGGCUCUGGCAGCUCUGGCUCAGCACGUGCGUGAUAUGCGGCCUGAUCUUCCCCGGCGUCUUCACUCAGCAGACGACCAACGUGGUCACCUCGGUGCAGCCCACCAUCCCCGUCACCCAGGCGACGACGCCGACGGUCCGACCGCCGAACGCGACCACGACGACAACAACGACCACGACGACCACCACCACCACGGCCAGGCCCGUGACCAUUGUCGUGCAGGUGCAGCAGAACCCGGGGAUCGCCUACGUCAACGGCUACCAACUACUGAGACUGAAACUCGCACAGAAGGCAUUCAACGUGGGCAACGUGCUCGCGGGGUAGCGACCCCGGACCAAUAUUAUUUAUUUUCACUUUAAAAGAUAUCCUACGCAAUCAUUGUUCCACAUUAUGUCACCAUCGUUUAUUUAAAACGUCAUUUAACGCGCCUCCCUCUCAUUUGCAUUUAACUGUAUGUUUUUCCCUUUGUUAAAAAAAAAACACUAACAAAGCAAGUUGAACUUA